AGAACAUAUAAUCAAUUUAAAAAUACCCAAGAAGGGCAUUUUGGAGGUUACAAAAAUUUCCUGGGGUUACAAGCCGAACACAACCAACAAAGAAGAUUGGUUUUUGUCAGAUUCCAAGAGAAUGUGUACUUUCUUCAAACCCACCAGGAGAGCAGAAACAGACUGGAAUCUACCCAAGAGAAAUGAAAACAUAUGUCCAUCUGAAGAUUUAUGUGAAUGUUCAUAGAAGCCUUGCUCAUCACAGCCCCAAACUGCAAACAACCCACA
rnacentral:lncRNA from 10 species